AGGACUAUAGCUCAGUUGGUUAGAGCACCUGCAUGACAUGCAGGGGGUCCUCAGUUCAAAUCUGAGUAGUCCUACCA
rnacentral:tRNA from 2 species